GGUUGCGAUCAUACCAGCACUAAUGCACCGGAUCCCAUCAGAACUCCGCAGGUAAGCGUGCUUGGGCGAGAGUAGUACUAGGAUGUGUGACCCCCUGGGAAGUCCUCGUGUUGCAACCCC
rnacentral:rRNA from 1 species